rnacentral:rRNA from 1 species
GCAAAAAAGCUAGCCUAACCAAGCCCAAUAAAUAAACCACAUAUAUAUCAACCCUAUAACAUGAAAAUUAAACAUUCUUAAACUCAAGUAUGGGCGACAGAAAAAGUCAAAAUAGAGCUAUAGAGAGAGUACCGCAAGGGAAAGCUGAAAGAGAAAUGAAAAAACCCGUAUAAGCAAAAAAAAGCAGAGACUAAAACUCGUACCUUUUGCAUCAUGGUUUAGCAAGUACAUUCAAGCAAAGAGACCUUCAGUUUGCAACCCCGAAACUAGACGAGCUACUCCGGAGCAGUCUUACUAGGACCAACCCGUCUCUGUGGCAAAAGAGUGGGAAGACUCCCCGAGUAGUGGUGAUAAACCUAACGAGCCUGGUCAUAGCUGGUUGCUUAAAAAAUGAAUAUCAGUUCAGCCUUAUAGAGUUCUUAUACCCAAACCACUAAGAGAUAAAAGUAACACCAUAAGAGUUAGUCAAAAGGGGUACAGCCCUUUUGAAAAAGAAUACAAACUUAUUCAGGUGGGAAAGGAUCACAACACACCAAGGAACCAUAGCUAUCACAGUGGGCCUAAAAGCAGCCACCGAUACAGAAAGCGUUAAAGCUCAAAAAGCUAAAAACCCAGAAAUAAAGACUCAUUCUCCAACCCCCCUAAAAAUAUUAAGCCACUCUAUGCACACAUAGAAGAAAUAAUGCUAAAAUUAGUAAUAAGGGGCCUACCCCCUCCCAACACAAGUGUAAAUCAGACCGGACCAACCACUGAACAUUAACGGACCCAAAACAAAGAGGGAACAACAACAAACAACAUAAAACAAGAAAACACUGCCAACCCCUCCGUUAACCCAACACAGGAGUGUAUAUAAGGAAAGACCUAAGAGAGAAGAAGGAACUCGGCAAACAAAAACCCCGCCUGUUUACCAAAAACAUCGCCUCUUGCUAAAACUAAAAGUAUUAGAGGUCCCGCCUGCCCAGUGACUAACCUGUUCAACGGCCGCGGUAUUCUGACCGUGCAAAGGUAGCGUAAUCACUUGUCUCUUAAAUAGGGACCCGUAUGAAUGGCAUAACCGAGGGUUUAACUGUCUCCUCCUCCCAGUCAAUGAAAUUGAUCUAUCCGUGCAGAAGCGGACAUAAAAACAUAAGACGAGAAGACCCUAUGGAGCUUUAGAUAAAAGACAAAACAUGUAAACAACACUUGAAAACUCGAACAAGAACAACAAAAGCAGUAAACCAAUGACUAAAUGACCUAAAAUCUUCGAUUGGGGCGAUCAUGGGGGAAAAAAAAGCCCCCACGUGGCACGGGAACAAACCCUUAAAGUUAGAGGGACACCUCAAAAUCCCAGAAAAUCUGACCAAAAAUGACCCAGAAUAUAAUCUGAUCAACGAACCAAGUUACCCUAGGGAUAACAGCGCAAUCCUUUUCCAGAGUCCAUAUCGACGAAAGGGUUUACGACCUCGAUGUUGGAUCAGGACAUCCUAAUGGUGCAGCCGCUAUUAAGGGUUCGUUUGUUCAACGAUUAACAGUCCUACGUGAUCUGAGUUCAGACCGGAGUAAUCCAGGUCGGUUUCUAUCUAUGAUCUUACUCCCCCCCAGUACGAAAGGACCCGGGAGAGAGGGCCAAUGCCAAAGAUAAGCCCCAUCCCCACCUAUUGAAAACAAAUCAAAUAGAAAAAAGGAUAUAACAUAACAAACAAAGAUAAUGGUAC